AGCGCGCACACGCCUCCCGCAGCACUCAAGCCUCCGCGGCUUCUCCCUGUCGCGCGCCCUCCGUCCUGCGCGCAGCCCUACAGCCCGGCAGCCGCCCACCCAGAGAUGGUUCGGAUGCGGCGGGGAACAGCGAGCGCGUGCACGCUCUCCGGAGCUCUGGCGCUUCCUAAGCCCCGGGCCACGCACCCUGCGCCAGGGUCUGGCCUGGGCGGGGUGGGUACCGCUGGAACCGCUGCUGCGAGAGCAAAAGGACAAUGGGGGCUUUUAUCCUUGCAUCCAAUGAUUCAGGAAGAGUGCUCCUCUGGGAACGCCCCACCAGGCAAAGCUGGAGAAAGGCCGGAAGGGCGUGUCCUGUCCAACCUCAGGCCGGUUCACUCAUUGCAAUCAGGAAAUGCCUAAUACAGAAGAUGCCAGAAUCUUUCUUUUUUCCUGCGGCUGCACUCCACCUUCCAUAUCUCAGGAAAGUGGUCUUGGUUUGGUUUUGGUCUGGGUCUUUUUAUAUGUUCAUGUGAUUUUUUUUUUCUUUCUUUGAUUUUGUUGUUGUUUUGAUUCCAAAAUGGAAAGACUUAAUUGGUUUCCAGAGUAGGAAACACCCAAUUUCUGCUCUAGUUUUUGUCUUUUUCAUAUCCUGAGGUUAAUCAUGUUGAAGACACAAAAAGCAGAUAUAGGGCAUAUCAGCCUCCUCAAUGUUCAGUAACUUAUUUUUACACGAACUUAGCUUCUGAUUAGCUGCUAGUUAACAUACAAUCCAAAGCUGCAGUCUUACCCCUAUGAAAGAGUAUCUGCAAACAGUGCCUUCUUCGUCUCUGGCUGGAAGUCCCCGUGAAUGAAAAUUUACAUAUGUGCUUCAGUUGAACCAAGUAAAACUUUUAUCAAAAAGUUUUAUCAAAUAAACCUUAAACACAUGAAAAUGAUACUCUUUAGCUAUAAUGUCUACCCACGAAAGGUCGUUUUAAAGCAGGUGCUGUUACAUUUGAUAAAUUGAGUGGAUUCUCUAUUUCAACUGCAGGGGUAUGUUCUGAAAUUUUGGAUAUUUGGAAGGACCUCAGGAAUGGCCAGAAAUGCUACUGGUGGUGGUUUAAUUUUAACAGAUUGAUCUGAUUGUAAAGGAAUAAUGCUACUAACACCCCCUUUCAUUUAGAGACAUCUUAGACACAGCUCCAAACUUUGAAAACCACGUAAGACUACUAAUAGAAGAAUUACUUCACGUUUAGGAGAUGUUUGAUGGUGAUUUCUUCAGCUCAUCUGACCAAGACCGUUGGCUUCAGAACAAGAUACAGCUCAGCAGUUAAGAGCCCUGGCUGCUCUUGCAGAGAGGACUCAGGUUCAGUUCCUAGCUCCCACAGGAUGCCUCAUAGCCUUCUGUGGCUCCAGUUGCAGGGCAUUCUAUACCCUCUUCUGGCCUCUAUGGACACCAGACAAGCAUGUUGUACACAGACAUACAUGUAGGUAAAACAUUCAUAAACAUAAAAGAAAUGGAAUAAAUCUUUUUUAAAAGCA
rnacentral:lncRNA from 1 species